UACGGAGGGUGCAAGCGUUAUCCGGAUUCACUGGGUUUAAAGGGAGCGUAGGUGGGCUGGUAAGUCAGUGGUGAAAUCUCCGGGCUUAACUCGGAAACUGCCGUUGAUACUAUAGGUCUUGAAUUUUCUGGAGGUUAGCGGAAUAUGUCAUGUAGCGGUGAAAUGCUUAGAUAUGACAUAGAACACCGAUUGCGAAGGCAGCUAGCUACAGGAACAUUGACACUGAGGCACGAAAGCGUGGGGAUCAAACAGG
rnacentral:rRNA from 1 species